UACGUAGGAGGCGAGCGUUGUCCGGAGUUACUGGGCGUAAAGGGUGCGCAGGCGGCGGUUCGCGUGGCGAGAUGAAAUCUCCUGGCUUACCUGGGAGGAUGGUCGCCAGACGGGAUCGCUUGAGGGUCGGAGAGGGGCGUGGAAUUCCGGGUGGAGCGGUGAAAUGCGUAGAGAUCCGGAGGAACACCAGUGGCGAAGGCGACACGCUGGGCCGUACCUGACACUGAUGCGCGACAGCAUGGGGAGCAAACAGG
rnacentral:rRNA from 1 species